rnacentral:rRNA from 1 species
UACGUAGGUGGCAAGCGUUAUCCGGAAUUAUUGGGCGUAAAGAGCGCGCAGGUGGUUAAUUAAGUCUGAUGUGAAAGCCUUCGGCUUAACCGGAGUAGUGCAUUGGAAACUGGGAGACUUGAGUGCAGAAGAGGAGAGUGGAACUCCAUGUGUAGCGGUGAAAUGCGUAGAUAUUAGGAGGAACACCAGUGGCGAAGGCGGCUUACUGGACUGUAACUGACGUUGAGGCUCGAAAGCGUGGGGAGCAAACAGG